UACGUAGGGUGCAGGCGUUAAUCGGAAUUACUGGGCGUAAAGCGUGCGCAGGCGGUUUGCUAAGACAGGUGUGAAAUCCCCGGGCUUAACCUGGGAACUGCGCUUGUUACUGGCAGGCUUGAGUGUGGCAGAGGGGGGUGGAAUUCCACGUGUAGCAGUGAAAUGCGUAGAGAUGUGGAGGAACACCGAUGGCGAAGGCACUUUACUGGGCUAUUACUAACACUCAGAGACGAAAGCUAGGGUAGCAAAUGGG
rnacentral:rRNA from 1 species